AUGGGGGAUGGUUUCAACAUUCCUAUAUUCCUGCGUGCCACGUAUCGUGUAUGGCCUAUAAUGAGGCCCGGCCUCGUCAACAUGCUCCGCUGUGGAACAGCGGCAACAGCUCACCUCAAACAGGAAGGGGAAAAUAGGUGAAAAUGUUAUACAUCAAAAUGGAAACCAAGAUGUAAUUAUAUGAAUUUUAUGUGUUAACUGAUGGCUGGUGAGGGGAAGUACAGAAAAUACAUCCAGAAUGUCAGCCCAGGGUCAUAAAACUGUCAAACGAAAUCAGAAUCACAGUGCUGCCUGGGGUUCCAGAUCUAGGCUACAGGCUCAGUGCUGCCUGGGGUUCCAGGUCGAGGCUACAGGCUCAGUGCUGCCUGGGGUUCCAGGUCUAGGCUACAGGCUCAGUGCUGCCUGGGGUUCCAGGUCUAGGCUACAGGCUCAGUGCUGCCUGGGGUUCCAGGUCUACACUACAGGCUCAGUGCUGGCCUGGUCGGUCAAACUAUGAUACAGACAACACCAAAACUUUAAUCUAACCAAUGAGACUUUAUGUAAGCAAAAACAAAAUCUCUCCCCAUCACAAAUACUCUCACAGUUUGUUUACAUAUGGUCAGCGUGCUCCUUCCAUCCGUCUGACCAGCUUGUUUUUCCCCACUACCGCAUCAUUGCUGUGUGUGUGUGUGUGUGUGUGUUACAGAUGCUCCUGUGCUACGCUACAAUGAUGCCAGUGUUGUUGAGAGUACCCUGGGUAGUUGUCCCUGGGGGGCGUUCCCACUUCCAGCCGUAAAGAACAGGAAGUUAUUAAAGCAGGCACAUAGUUAGUGACUGUCAUUACAGAAUGAAGGAAGGCCAGUAGAAGUAGGCUUUUACUGCAGUAACACUCAUUAGUGGUGAGAGAGGUGAGAGUCAGGGGCUGAAGAGACUCUCAGGACUGGACUAAAGCACCUUUCACAGGACCAGAGGGCCUAGUCUGCCCUGUAAGCAGCCACAUUUACAACCAGGAGAGGAGUGGAUACUGCGUGUAUACAUGGGUCUAAUCAUGCUGGAAACGUAGACUUAAUCCAAUAGGUCUAUUGGCGGGAUAGGUUUGUAUAACAAUAGCGUGCACAAAGUGAGAAUCUUGAGUUCCCACAACAGACCAAAGCCAUUUAGCUGAUCCAAGAGCUAAGCUAAUUAUACCCUUUAAACAUGCAAAACACAUUCUUAACAAAAAACAGUAUGCCAACAUGCUUAAAAUACUUCCCAUAAAACACACCACGUAAUGUCAGCAAGUUGCAGGUUAGGGACUAGCAGCUAGCAUAGUAAGCUGCAGGUUAGGGACUAGUAGCUAGCAUAGUAAGCUGCAGGUUAGGGACUAGCAGCUAGCAUAGUAAGCUGCAGGUUAGGGACUAGUAGCUAGCAUAGUAAACUGCAGGUUAGGGACUAGCAGCUAGCAUAGUAAGCUGCAGGUUAGGGACUAGUAGCUAGCAUAGUAAACUGCAGGUUAGGGACUAGCAGCUAGCAUAGUAAGCUGCAGGUUAGGGACUAGUAGCUAGCAUAGUAAGCUGCAGGUUAGGGACUAGUAGCUAGCAUAGUAAGCUGCAGGUUAGGGACUAGUAGCUAGCAUAGUACGCUACAGGUUAGGGACCAGUAGCUAGCAUAGUAAGCUGCAGAUUAGGGACUAGUAGCUAGCAUAGUAAGCUGCAGGUUAGGGACUAGUAGCUAGCAUAGUACGCUACAGGUUAGGGACCAGUAGCUAGCAUAGUACGCUGCAGGUUGGGGGCUAGUAGCUAGCAUAUUACGCUGCAGGUUAGGGACUAGCAGCUAGCAUACUAAGCUGCAGGUUAGGGACUAGUAGCUAGCAUAGUAAGCUGCAGGUUAGGGACUAGCAGCUAGCAUAGUAAGCUGCAGGUUAGGGACUAGUAGCUAGCAUAGUAAGCUGCAGGUUAGGGACUAGCAGCUAGCAUAGUAAGCUGCAGGUUAGGGACUAGUAGCUAGCAUAGUAAACUGCAGGUUAGGGACUAGCAGCUAGCAUAGUAAGCUGCAGGUUAGGGACUAGUAGCUAGCAUAGUAAGCUGCAGGUUAGGGACUAGUAGCUAGCAUAGUACGCUACAGGUUAGGGACCAGUAGCUAGCAUAGUACGCUGCAGGUUAGGGGCUAGUAGCUAGGAUAGUACGCUGCAGGUUAGGGACUAGCAGCUAGCAUAGUACGCUACAGGUUAGGGGCUAGUAGCUAGCAUAGUAAACUGCAGGUUAGGGACUAGCAGCUAGCAUAGUAAGCUGCAGGUUAGGGACUAGUAGCUACCAUAGUACGCUGCAAGUUAGGGACUAGUAGCUAGCAUAGUACACUGCAGGUUAGGGACUAGUAGCUAGCAUAGUACGCUACAGGUUAGGGACCAGUAGCUAGCAUAGUACGCUGCAGGUUAGGGGCUAGUAACUAGCAUAGUAUGCUGCAGGUUAGGGACUAGUAGCUAGCACAGUACGCUGCAGGUUAGGGGCUAGUUGCUAGCAUAGUACGGUGCAGGUUAGGGGCUAGUAGCUAGCAUAGUACGCUGCAGGUUAGGGGCUAGUAGCUAGCAUAGUACGCUGCAGGUUAGGGGCUAGUAGCUAGCAUAGUACACUGCAGGUUAGGGGCUAGUAGCUAGCAUAGUACGCUGCAGGUUAGGGGCUAGUAGCUAGCAUAGUACGCUACAGGUUAGGGGCUAGUAGCUAGCAUAGUACACUGCUGCAACAGUUGAAGGCGUUCUUGUUUGCCAUGUUUGUUAGCAUAUAGCCUAGUCCAAGGCAGGAGCCCAUCUCCUGUUUCUGUAGCAUGGGGCGGCGCGAUGUAAGAGCACCCCCUAGACAGGACUAUCACACUGUAUCAAUCAAACAGGGACACUCCUCUAUCACGGCACUCCUCUAUCACAGUUUGUGUGUGCGCUCAGAGCACAACUCAAAGCAACCAUUCCAACAUCAAAUCAAAUCAAAUGUAUUUAUAUAGCCCUUCGUACAUCAGCUGAUAUCUCAAAGUGCUGUACAGAAACCCAGCCUAAAACCCCAAACAGCAAACAAUGAAACAUCAAAGAGCCAUAGACAGAUAGAACAGGCAGAAGACACGGUGCUGCCUAACAAGAGUCUGUCUGUCCCCUCGGACUGCUCUGCUGCUGAUGCUAAAUAAAUGGUUGGAUGAAACGUUUUGUUUAUCUUGGCGAGUGGUACCGUGCAAUUAUGACAUUUGUUGUACACAACUAUUGGUUUGCAUAGCCUAGGUACAUGUACAUGUUCAAAUGUUCUGAGAAACUAGGUUAAAUCAUGGAAAAGCAACCUUUCAGUUAGUGGCCCAGCGCUCUAACCGCUAGGAAACCUGCCGCCCUACACACCCAGUAUAGUUUUAACACCCUAUUGCUCUACCCUAUCAUGACUUAUCAGAUCAGUGCAGAUGAAGAGAAAAAGACAAGGACAGGAAACCAUUUCAUGCUGAAAGAUAAAGACAAAAUGUUUAUCUGAGUUCAUCCGUUAUGAGGCGAUAGCAGCUCCAAGUCACUAGGGGGCGAUAGCACCUUAUAGGCUGAGGUAUUGGACCAAGCCGUGAAGUUGCACCACACAGCACAGCUCUGGGGACAGUGAGUGAAGUAGAAUUUGAUAAAAAUCAUCUGUGUGUUUUGGUAUGAGGCCUUAAUAAUUUUGAUCUACUUCCACUGUCCUCCAAGAGUUGCUGGAUUUCCUCGUCACUUCAGUUUGGUCCUCAAGUUAGGUAGCAGCAGUGUUCUUCCCUUCCCACAGAGAGAAUGAGUCAUGGUCCAGGUAUCUGUCCUCCUGUGAGUGCUGCCUGGAGCUCAGCUUGGCACCCCAGCCUCCUGUCUGUCAACACGCCCGGGAACAUUUACACGAUUUAUGUUCCACACUGCUCUGCUUUUUCCACCUUGGUGAAUUAGCGUGUUAGGGGUUUGGGAGAACUUGCACCACUGCUGCAGUUAGGUGCUGUGGUAUGCCAUCGCCAUCAGACAACACUCCAAUCAAAUCCACGACUCCAAUAUUUCAAACAAAUUCCCAGAUGUUCCCUGAUCCUCCCCCUUGUGUCGGACGCUGUGUCCCAAAUUACACACGAUCCCCUACAUAGUGCUCUAAAGUAGUGCCCUAUAUAGGGAACAGGGUGCCAUUUGGGACAGUCUCAGUCCCAAUAUAACAACAAGACUGACUGGAGCUUGUCCUCUCUGCCAUGCUACACUUCACAGAUUAAACAGCAGGUUCAUGUUUAAAAGAAACUUGUGUUCUGCUUUUAUGGAGCCAGUUUAUGGUUCUGGUUUAAACUCAAACUUAAUCAUUUUAUCCGUUCAAUUAGAUAUAAUUAUAUGACACUGAAAGUCACUUUUUACUGAAGGCUUCUGCCAUACGCUCUGAUAAAAAUAAAAAAUAAAAUCUGCAGUGCCAUAAAACUACAGAGAAACAGAAGCAAUCGUGUGUGUGUGUGUGUUUGUGUGUGUGUGUUGAACUGCAUUCAAUCCAGCCCACAUAGAGAGAAAACAGAAACAGACUGCUGCUUUGAUCUGGUCUGAUGAGAUGUGAGCCCAGACAUACAGACCACCUCUCAUCAGUUCCACAUCUCCUUUAUAGUAGCAUUCCUGCUGCUGGUCUCCUGCUGGAUGAGGCCCUCGCCCAGCUCCACUCUGCCCGCUAUCUUUCACUACAGAAUUGGCUCAAAUCAAUACCUGCCAGUGCAUUGGAUUUAAUGUGCUCCUAUAACCAGAUCCAUCUGGGACACGCCAGUCUGCAGAGCAGGACAACAAGACCCCCCCCCCCCCCUUCUGCUCUGCCAACCUCACUUUUCAUACUGAGAGUGCACUCAAAUACAUUGGUUACAGGACAUGGCUUACCUUACUUUAAAAAAACACUUACUUUUUUUUUUUUACAUGAGUAAAGCAAAACCUCUCAGAUAAACCUGGAGUCUUGAGAGUUCAGUUAAGUACUAAAUGGCACCCUAUAUAGUGCACUAUUGUUUACCAGGGCCAUAUGGAGCCUGACCAAAAGUAGUGCCCUAUAAAAGGGGAUAGGGAACUAUUAGGGACACACAACAAUUCUAAUAUGCUUGCUCACAGCGAGUGGAUUGAGCCAGAUAGGAAUUAUAGGUCAGUAGGUGUCCAGGUUCCCACUCUAGAAGUGUAAUCAAGUUUGGAAGACAGAUGCCCUUGGUCCUUUAAAAUAGAAUUUACCUGUUAUGGGCAGAUGAAUAAGCAACAUGACAUUAUUAUUCUACACAGUGUGGCCAGGGGUACUUCCUGCUUACAGGCUUCAACAAUAACAUGAUGACCACAACUGACCAGACUAACACUAUGGAACGCAUUGGGAACUAGUCUGGUCCCAGAUCUGUUCGUGCUCUUGCCAACUCCAUCGCUGUGGAAAAAAUGUUUGGCGUGACAAGGUGUUGGCAUGAUAGCAUAAACACAAUGACACUAUAUAUAGGCUAAUUGGGAGGAGCUAAAUAAUGGCAGAUUUGGAAUUGUGUUUGAUUUCUGUAAGCUGAAAGUAACCCUGUGUGAUGUACGCUAUAUUAGUCCACCUUAAAUGAGACGAAUUGGAGAGGAACGAGAGAGGACG